rnacentral:rRNA from 1 species
CCUACGGGUGGCAGCAGUGAGGAAUAUUGGUCAAUGGGCGUAAGCCUGAACCAGCCAAGUAGCGUGCAGGAUGACGGCCCUAUGGGUUGUAAACUGCUUUUAUGCGGGGAUAAAAGAGCCCACGUGUGGGUUUUUGCAGGUACCGCAUGAAUAAGGACCGGCUAAUUCCGUGCCAGCAGCCGCGGUAAUACGGAAGGUCCAGGCGUUAUCCGGAUUUAUUGGGUUUAAAGGGAGCGUAGGCCGCCUCUUAAGCGUGUUGUGAAAUGCGGGUGCUCAACAUCCGACUUGCAGCGCGAACUGGGGGGCUUGAGUGCGCCGAAAGUAGGCGGAAUUCGUGGUGUAGCGGUGAAAUGCUUAGAUAUCACGAAGAACUCCGAUUGCAAAGGCAGCUUACUGUAGCGCAACUGACGCUGAUGCUCGAAAGCGUGGGUAUCGAACAG